rnacentral:rRNA from 1 species
AUUGAACGCUGGCGGCAGGCCUAACACAUGCAAGUCGAGCGGAUGAAGGGAGCUUGCUCCUGGAUUCAGAGGCGGACGGGUGAGUAAUGCCUAGGAAUCUGCCUGGUAGUGGGGGAUAACGUCCGGAAACGGGCGCUAAUACCGCAUACGUCCUGAGGGAGAAAGUGGGGGAUCUUCGGACCUCACGCUAUCAGAUGAGCCUAGGUCGGAUUAGCUAGUUGGUGGGGUAAAGGCCUACCAAGGCGACGAUCCGUAACUGGUCUGAGAGGAUGAUCAGUCACACUGGAACUGAGACACGGUCCAGACUCCUACGGGAGGCAGCAGUGGGGAAUAUUGGACAAAGGGCGAAAGCCUGAUCCAGCCAUGCCGCGUGUGUGAAGAAGGUCUUCGGAUUGUAAAGCACUUUAAGUUGGGAGGAAGGGCAGUAAGUUAAUACCUUGCUGUUUUGACGUUACCAACAGAAUAAGCACCGGCUAACUUCGUG